UCCAGACUCCUACGGGAGGCAGCAGUGGGGGAUAUUGCACAAUGGGGGAAACCCUGAUGCAGCGACGCCGCGUGAGUGAAGAAGUAUUUCGGUAUGUAAAGCUCUAUCAGCAGGGAAGAAAAAAGACGGUACCUGACUAAGAAGCCCCGGCUAACUACGUGCCAGCAGCCGCGGUAAUACGUAGGGGGCAAGCGUUAUCCGGAUUUACUGGGUGUAAAGGGAGCGUAGACGGCAAUACAAGUCGGAAGUGAAAUACCCGGGCUCAACCUGGGAACUGCUUUGGAAACUGUAUGGCUGGAGUGCUGGAGAGGUAAGCGGAAUUCCUAGUGUAGCGGUGAAAUGCGUAGAUAUUAGGAGGAGCACCAGUGGCGAAGGCGGCUUACUGGACAGUAACUGACGUUGAGGCUCGAAAGCGUGGGGAGCAAACAGGAUUAGAUACCCCAGUACGG
rnacentral:rRNA from 1 species